GUCACUCCCACAAACGUCUACGACCGCAUCUACAUAUUUUUGCAUGUUUACAAUUCUAAUUGUUUAAACAGCCAAUCGACGUUUAAUUGUAAUUGUUACCAAGAACCGGAUUGGCUGUUUAAAAUUAGAACUGUAAACAUGCAAAAAUAUGUAGGUACGGUCGUAGACGUUUGUGGGAGUGGC
rnacentral:miRNA from 1 species